rnacentral:rRNA from 1 species
AGCGAAUGUUUGCGGCGGGCCUAACACAUGCAAGUCGAACGGGCUACUUCGGUAGUCAGUGGCGCACGGGUGCGUAACACGUGGGUAAUCAACCCUCUAGACUGGGAUAACCCGGGGAAACUCGAGCUAAUACCAGAUGUGUCGCCCUGAUCCUCGGAUCGGGUCGAGAAAAGGUCGCAAGGCCUGUUAGAGGACGAGCCCGCGGCCCAUCAGCUUGUUGGUGAGGUAAUGGCUCACCAAGGCUAAGACGGGUAGCUGGUCUGAGAGGAUGGCCAGCCACACUGGAACUGAGACACGGUCCAGACUCCUACGGGAGGCAGCAGUGGGGAAUAUUGCGCAAUGGGCGAGAGCCUGACGCAGCCACGCCGCGUGAGCGAUGAAGGCCUCGGUCGUAA